GUGCUCGCUUCGGCAGCACAUAUAUUAAAAUUGGAACAAUACAGAGAAAGGGGUAGCAUGGCCCCUGUGCAAGGAUGACAUGCAAAUUCGUGAAGCAUUUCAUAUUUUC